rnacentral:rRNA from 1 species
AUUGACCGCUGGCGGCAGGCCUAACACAUGCAAGUCGAGCGAGCGGCGGACGGUUGAGUAAUUUCUGGGAAACUGCCUGAUGGAGGGGGAUAACUACUGGAAACGGUAGCUAAUACCGCAUACUAUCAGAUGUGCCCAGAUGGGAUUAGCUCGUAGGUGGGGUAACGACUCACCUAGUCGACGAUCCCUAGCUGGUCUGCGAGGAUGACCAGCCACACUGGAACUGAGACACGGUCCAGACUCAUACGGGAGGCAGCAGUGGGGAAUAUUGCACAAUGGGCGCAAGCCUGAUGCAUCCAUGCCGCGUGUGUGAAGAGGGCCUUCGGGUUGUAAAGCACUUUCAGCGGGGAGGCGUUACCCGCAGAAGAAGCACCGGCUAAAUCCGUGCCAGCAGCCGCGGUAAUUC